UGGGGAAUAUUGGACAAUGGGGGGAACCCUGAUCCAGCCAUGCCGCGUGUGUGAAGAAGGCCUUAUAGUUGUAAAGCACUUUAAGCGAGGAGGAGGGUACUGGUAUUAAUACUACCAGGUACUGGACGUUACUCGCAGAAUAAGCACCGGCUAACUCUGUGCCAGCAGCCGCGGUAAUACAGAGGGUGCGAGCGUUAAUCGGAUUUACUGGGCGUAAAGCGUGCGUAGGCGGCUAAUUGAGUCGGAUGUGAAAUCCCCGAGCUUAACUUGGGAAUUGCAUUCGAUACUGGUUAGCUAGAGUGUGGGAGAGGAUGGUAGAAUUCCAGGUGUAGCGGUGAAAUGCGUAGAGAUCUGGAGGAAUACCGAUGGCGAAGGCAGCCAUCUGGCCUAACACUGACGCUGAGGUACGAAAGCAUGGGGGGCAAACAGG
rnacentral:rRNA from 1 species